GCCGCCAAUCAGUAAUGUCAGCAUUACUGGGUUCCAGUUUGAAGGCCGAGAAACGUCCACUACUGAACAUAAGGGCCUAAAGAUCGCCACAACAACCGGUCUUGCAUCUAGCGCGCUACCGCAACCUUCAUCAGUUCAUCGGUCCACUUUGUGGGUGGUCUGCCACGUUGCGACCCUAUCGGCUGUCUGUUCUUUGCACAAUAACUGUAUAGAAGAGAUCUUAUGUCAUUGAAGAUAAUCAUUUUCUUCAGGGCUCAUAAGCUUUGCUUGUCGGCAGUGUCUUUUUGUAGCAACGCACAUAUAAAAUGUACAUAACCCUUCGUGUGGCAAAUUCCCGCAGUGGGAUAUGACACGAAAACCUUCUCCUCGCAACGUCAUUU